rnacentral:ncRNA from 1 species
CACCUAACGCGUUAAGUAUCCCGCCUGGGGAGUACGCUCGCAAGAAUGAGACUCAAAGGAAGUGACGGGGCACCGCACAACCGGUGGAGCAUCUGGCCUAAUUCGAGGCAACGCGAAGAACCUUACCAGGGCGAGACAGGCCGUGAAUAGUCUUGAGAGAGAGGAGUGCCCUCGGGAACGCGGACACAGUUGGUGCAUGACUGUCGUCAGCUCGUACCGUGAGAUGCUGGGUCGAGUCCCGCAACGAGCGCAACCCUAGUGUAUAGUCGCCAUCACUGAGCUUGGAACCCUAAACAGACGGCCGGCGAAGAGCCGGAGGAGGGUGAGGAUGACGUCAAGUCAGCAUGCCCCUCACGCCAUGGGCGACACACGUGCUACAAUGCCCGGGACAAAGGGUCGCAACCCCGCGAGGGCAGGCCAACCCCGAAAACCCGGCCUCAGUUCGGAUUGCAGGCUGCAACUCGCCUGCAUGAAGCCGGAAUCGCUAGUAAUCGCCGGUCAGCCAUACGACGGUGAAUCCGUUCCCGGGCAUUGUACACACCGCCCGUCACACUACGGGAGCUGGCCAUGCCCGAAGUCGUCACCUUAACCGCAAGGAGGGGAAUGCCUAAGGCAGGGCUAGUGACUGGAGUGAAGUCGUAACAAGGUAGCCGUACUGGAAGGUGCGGCUGGAUCACCUCCUUC